rnacentral:rRNA from 1 species
CCUACGGGUGGCAGCAGUGAGGAAUAUUGGUCAAUGGGCGGAAGCCUGAACCAGCCAAGUAGCGUGCAGGAUGACGGCCCUACGGGUUGUAAACUGCUUUUAUACGGGAAUAACGCGCCUUACGUGUAGGGCUUUGCAUGUACCGUAUGAAUAAGGACCGGCUAAUUCCGUGCCAGCAGCCGCGGUACUACGGAAGGUCCGGGCGUUAUCCGGAUUUGUUGGGUUUAAAGGGAGCGUAGGCCGCAUGUCACGCGUGCUGUGAAAUGUCCGGGCGCAACCCGGGCCGUGCAGCCCGAACUGGCGUGCUUGAGUCCGCGGAAAGCAGGCGGAAUUCGUGGUGUAGCGGUGAAAUGCGUAGA